rnacentral:rRNA from 1 species
GAUGAACGCUGGCGGCGUGCCUAAUACAUGCAAGUCGAGCGAACGGACGAGAAGCUUGCUUCUCUGAUGUUAGCGGCGGACGGGUGAGUAACACGUGGUUAACCUAACUAUAAGACUGGGAUAACUUCGGGAAACCGGAGCUAAUACCGGAUAAUAUUUUGAACCGCAUGGUUCAAAAGUGAAAGACGGUCUUGCUGUCACUUAUAGAUGGAUCCGCGCUGCAUUAGCUAGUUGGUCAGGUAACGGCUUACCAAGGCAACGAUGCAUAGCCGACCUCAAAGGCGGCGCGGCCACGCUGGUACUGGAGGACGAUCCACACCCCUACGAGAGGCAGCAGGCGGGAACCUUCCCCGGAGGGCGCAGUCCUGACGGAUGAGCACCGCGUGAGUGAUUGAGGUCUUCGGAUCGUAAAACUCAGUUAUGUGGGAAGAACAUAAGUGUAUGUAACUGUGCACAUCAUGACGGUACCUAAUCAGAGAGGCACGGCUUACUACCUU